CAAAUUGAGAGUUUGAUCCUGGCUCAGGACGAACGCUGGCGGCGUGCCUAAUACAUGCAAGUCGAGCGAGCUGAAUUCAAAGAUCCCUUCGGGGUGAUUUGUUGGACGCUAGCGGCGGAUGGGUGAGUAACACGUGGGCAAUCUGCCCUAAAGACUGGGAUACCACUUGGAAACAGGUGCUAAUACCGGAUAACAACAUGAAUCGCAUGAUUCAAGUUUGAAAGGCGGCGUAAGCUGUCACUUUAGGAUGAGCCCGCGGCGCAUUAGCUAGUUGGUGGGGUAAAGGCCUACCAAGGCAAUGAUGCGUAGCCGAGUUGAGAGACUGAUCGGCCACAUUGGGACUGAGACACGGCCCAAACUCCUACGGGAGGCAGCAGUAGGGAAUCUUCCACAAUGGACGCAAGUCUGAUGGAGCAACGCCGCGUGAGUGAAGAAGGUUUUCGGAUCGUAAAGCUCUGUUGUUGGUGAAGAAGGAUAGAGGCAGUAACUGGUCUUUAUUUGACGGUAAUCAACCAGAAAGUCACGGCUAACUACGUGCCAGCAGCCGCGGUAAUACGUAGGUGGCAAGCGUUGUCCGGAUUUAUUGGGCGUAAAGCGAGCGCAGGCGGAAUGAUAAGUCUGAUGUGAAAGCCCACGGCUCAACCGUGGAACUGCAUCGGAAACUGUCAUUCUUGAGUGCAGAAGAGGAGAGUGGAAUUCCAUGUGUAGCGGUGGAAUGCGUAGAUAUAUGGAAGAACACCAGUGGCGAAGGCGGCUCUCUGGUCUGCAACUGACGCUGAGGCUCGAAAGCAUGGGUAGCGAACAGG
rnacentral:rRNA from 1 species